GCAUUUUUGCUUCCCGCCCCUCCCUUGGAUCAAAAGGGCACUCCAAGUACUUGAACUCUAUUAAUAGCCCCUGCAAGCACAGCUUCAGCCUGCAUGUGCCCCUGUCCGAGUGCUUCUGAAAUGACAGGGAGCUUUCAAACAGAACCGGGCCAUGCAUUUUUCCAAUGCCGACUGUGCUGGCGCUGCUCUGCCCUGUCAAAUGCAUAAUAUUGAAAAGCUCAACUGGGCACCUAUUUGCUAGAAUGUUCUUGGCUGUUCUCCACCCAUCAUGUCCCAAGAUAGAAUUUGCUCAGAGAAGCAAGACUAUUCUUAGGUGUUUCCCGUGGUGAACAUAAACCAAAAGAUCCAAAUCUCUGGAAACAGUUGCAUGAGUAUCUGAAGACUAAAGGACAACACUGAUUGUCAUCUUCAUGAAAGUCAUCCAUCUUGAGACAGGGACUCUCAUUGGCCUGGAGUUCACCAAUGACCUAGACUGACAGGUAAGUAAGCCCCUGGGAAUCUCUGGUCUCUGCCUCCCUAUUGCCACAACACCUAGCAUCUUUAUGUGGGUUCUGAGCCAUGGAACUUGUCUUCUCUUGCUUUCAAGGCAAGUACUUUACCAACUGGUCUGUGUUCCCUAUAAUCUCCCUCCCUGCUACUGCUUAACGAUCACCUGAUUAAAAUUAGUAUUGCCUCAAUUAUCUUGCCUGCUAGGUGGAACUCCUAUGGGGGAAGAGUAAGGAGAUGAAGUUGGAUAUCAGGCUGGCCUUUCCAUAGAGGCUGCAGAAGAGCCUCUUGAUGAUAAAGCCCACGAACAGGACACAUGGGUGCACAUUCAUGCAUCCACGAAAAGUCAAGGAGGACACAGAGCUACGCUGUGGUCACAAUGACCUCCACCAGGGUG